CGAACGCUGGCGGCAGGCCUAAUACAUGCAAGUCGAACGGCUCUUCGGAGCAGUGGCGGACGGGUGAGUAACGCGUGGGAAUGUGCCCUUUGGUACGGAACAACACAGGGAAACUUGUGCUAAUACCGUAUGUGCCCUUCGGGGGAAAGAUUUAUCGCCAUUGGAGCAGCCCGCGUUGGAUUAGGUAGUUGGUGAGGUAAAGGCUCACCAAGCCUACGAUCCAUGGCUGGUCUGAGAGGAUGACCAGCCACACUGGGACUGAGACACGGCCCAGACUCCUACGGGAGGCAGCAGUAGGGAAUCUUGCGCAAUGGGCGGAAGCCUGACGCAGCCAUGCCGCGUGGAUGAUGAAGGUCUUAGGAUUGUAAAAUCCUUUCACCGGUGAAGAUAAUGACUGUAGCCGGAGAAGAAGCCCCGGCUAACUUCGUGCCAGCCGCCGCCGUAAGAC
rnacentral:rRNA from 1 species